rnacentral:rRNA from 1 species
GUGAACGCUGGCGGCGUGCUUAACUACAUAGCAAGUCGACGAAGCGCUGCUUGAUCUUCGGAGGAGAGGCCGUGCGACUGAGUGGCGGACGGGUGGAGUAACGCGUGGGCGAACCUGCCCCGCCACUGGGGGACGAACAGACUCGGAAACGGCUGCUAAUACCGCAUAAGCGCACAGCUUCGCAUGAAGCGGUGUGAAAAACUCCGGUGGUGCGGGAUGGGCCCGCGUCUGAUUAGCUGGUUGCGGGGGUAACGGCCCACCAAGGCAACGAUCAGUAGCCGGCCUGAGAGGGUGGACGGCCACAUUGGGACUGAGACACGGCCCAGACUCCUACGGGAGGCAGCAGUGGGGAAUAUUGCACAAUGGGGGAAACCCUGAUGCAGCGACGCCGCGUGAGCGAAGAAGUAUUUCGGUGUGUAAAGCUCUAUCAGCAGGAAAGAAAAUGACGGUACCUGACUAAGAAGCUCCGGCUAAAUACGUG